UCCAGGGUAGCCUAGUGGACAUGGCAUCUGUCCGGUAAGCGGAAGGUCGUGGGUUCGUUUCCCGCCCCUGGAC